GCUGCAGGAGGGAGCGGACACUCUCGCUGGAGAUGGACUCCAGAUGCUGCAGCAGCCAGCGUGACGUCCCGACAAAAUGCUGUCAGUGACAGCAGGAGCCGACGCACGGUAACCUGCAGCCCAGGCCUCUGUUUGAUAUGUGCCGGAUGAGUAACAGGAGUGUCUGGUGAGGAAAGAUGUGUUUGACAAGCUCACAAAUU
rnacentral:lncRNA from 1 species